UACGGAAGGGGCAAGCGUUGUUCGGAAUCAUUGGGCGUAAAGGGUGCGCAGGCGGUUGGGUGUGUCAGAUGUGAAAUCCCGAGGCUUAACCUCGGAACUGCGUCUGAAACUACUCGACUAGAGUACUGGAGAGGGUAACGGAAUUCACGGUGUAGCAGUGAAAUGCGUAGAUAUCGUGAGGAACACCAGAGGCGAAGGCGGUUACCUGGACAGUUACUGACGCUCAGGCACGAAAGCAUGGGGAGCAAAAGGG
rnacentral:rRNA from 1 species